rnacentral:rRNA from 1 species
UGCAGUGGCUGUCGUCAGCUCGUGUCGCGAGAUUGUUGGGUUAAGUCCCGCAACGAGCGCAACCCCUGCUGCCAGUUGCCAACGGGUGAAGCCGGGCACUCUGGCGGGACUGCCAUCGACAAGAUGGAGGAAGGUGGGGAUGACGGUCAAGGUCAUCAUGGCCCUUAUGUCCAGGGCGACACACGUGCUACAAUGGCCGGCACAGCGGGAAGCGAGGCAGUGAUGCCGAGCGGAUCCCUUAAAGCCGGUCUCAGUUCGGAUUGAAGUCUGCAACUCGACUUCAUGAAGCUGGAAUCGCUAGUAAUCGCAGAUCAGCCAAGCUGCGGUGAAUACGUUCCCGGGCCUU